CCUACGGGAGGCUGCAGUGGGGGAUAUUGCACAAUGGGGGGAACCCUGAUGCAGCGACGCCGCGUGGGUGAAGAAGCGCCUCGGCGCGUAAAGCUCUAUCAGCAGGGAAGAAAAUGACGGUACCUGACUAAGAAGCCCCGGCUAACUACGUGCCAGCAGCCGCGGUAAUACGUAGGGGGCAAGCGUUAUCCGGAUUUACUGGGUGUAAAGGGAGCGUAGACGGCGCUGCAAGUCCGGAGUGAAAGCCCAUGGCUUAACCAUGGUACUGCUCUUGGAACUGCGUGGCUGGAGUGCAGGAGGGGCAGGCGGAAUUCCUGGUGUAGCGGUGAAAUGCGUAGAUAUCAGGAGGAACACCGGUGGCGAAGGCGGCCUGCUGGACUGCAACUGACGUUGAGGCCCGAAAGCGUGGGGAGCAAACAGGAUUAGAUACCCCUGUAGUC
rnacentral:rRNA from 1 species